ensembl:lncRNA
AAAACAUCCGAUGAAAACCCAAGGAUAGGGAAGCAGCUAUCACCUGUAUUCCAGAUCCCUAAAUGCCCAGACAUGCGUUCACGGGAGCUGGGAAGCUCUAAGCAAGCCUCCGGACCUCAGCAAACAAGUGCCAGGACUGUAUCUGUCCACCGGCAGCUUUUAGGAUUCACUAGAUUCGUCUCCUGGGGACUUGGUAAAAGUUGCAAACAUGCUGUUGGGGCAGAAAAGGAGACAGCAAUCCCGCAGCAAAAGGAGGUACCAGCAGCGUGUGUUGCAAACCCCAGCACUGCGGAAAAAGAGGUCUUAGGCCAGUCUGUGGAGCCCAGAUGGUAGGUACCUGCUCUCAAAGAACUUGGAGAACAGUCUUGGAUUUAGGUGACUUUCAAAGCCACCACAAGGACUCAUUAGAAUGAGAUUUGGGCAGUUCAGACAACACAGGUAAAAAAGGCCGAGUACUGAGCUUCCUAAUAAGGACCAACUCCUACCUGGUCCCU